UAAUGUAAGGCCAGUUUACAAUUAGAUAAACAAGAACGCCAGUAACAGAAACUAUCAAUCCACCUUAACAGUAGGUGAACAUCAGGGUAUGUAAUAUAUUAAGCCCUCAACAUGAUUAAGAUACUCU